GUCCUUGACAAACAGGUGCCAAGAUCUCUUGUGUGUUCCAAUAUUUUAACUCCUAUUGAAGUCCAUUGUCAGUUGGGACAUCCGUCUUUAUCUGUCUUGAAAAAGUUAUGUCCACAGUUUCAAUCUUUAUCAGUUUUAGAUUGUGCGUCCUGUCAGUUUGCCAAGCAUCAUCGUUUGCUUAAAGUGUCUAAAGUCAAUAAACGGGCUU
rnacentral:misc_RNA from 1 species